GGGUCAGUAGGUUGGUCGUGCCACCGGUACGUACUGGUCUCGCUGAUUCCUCCCUCCUGAAGAACCGUAAUGCCAUUAAUUUGGUGUUGCGGGGAAACAGGACUGUUACUUUGAAAAAAUUAGAGUGUUUAAAGCAAGCUAACGCUUGAAUACAUUAGCAUGGAAUAAUGAAAUAGGACGAUCGAUCCUAUUUUGUUGGUUUCUAGGAUUGACGUA
rnacentral:rRNA from 1 species